rnacentral:rRNA from 1 species
GUAGGUGGCAAGCGUUGUCCGGAAUUAUUGGGCGUAAAGCGCGCGCAGGCGGUCCUUUAAGUCUGAUGUGAAAGCCCACGGCUCAACCGUGGAGGGUCAUUGGAAACUGGGGGACUUGAGUACAGAAGAGGAAAGCGGAAUUCCACGUGUAGCGGUGAAAUGCGUAGAGAUGUGGAGGAACACCAGUGGCGAAGGCGGCUUUCUGGUCUGUAACUGACGCUGAGGCGCGAAAGCGCGGGGAGCAAACAGGGAUUAGAUACCCUGGUAGUCCACGCCGUAAACGAUGAGUGCUAAGUGUUAGGGGGUUUCCGCCCCCUUAGUGCUGCAGCUAACGCAUUAAGCACUCCGCCUGGGGAGUACGGCCGCAAGGCUG